AGAGUUUGAUCCUGGCUCAGGAUGAACGCUAGCGGCAGGCUUAACACAUGCAAGUCGAGGGGCAGCAUAAUGGAUAGCAAUAUCUAUGGUGGCGACCGGCGCACGGGUGCGUAACGCGUAUGCAACCUACCUUUAACAGGGGGAUAACACUGAGAAAUUGGUACUAAUACCCCAUAAUAUCAUAGAAGGCAUCUUUUAUGGUUGAAAAUUCCGAUGGUUAGAGAUGGGCAUGCGUUGUAUUAGCUAGUUGGUGGGGUAACGGCUCACCAAGGCGACGAUACAUAGGGGGACUGAGAGGUUAACCCCCCACACUGGUACUGAGACACGGACCAGACUCCUACGGGAGGCAGCAGUGAGGAAUAUUGGUCAAUGGACGCAAGUCUGAACCAGCCAUGCCGCGUGCAGGAUGACGGCUCUAUGAGUUGUAAACUGCUUUUGUACGAGGGUAAACGCAGAUACGUGUAUCUGUCUGAAAGUAUCGUACGAAUAAGGAUCGGCUAACUCCGUGCCAGCAGCCGCGGUAAUACGGAGGAUUCAAGCGUUAUCCGGAUUUAUUGGGUUUAAAGGGUGCGUAGGCGGUUUGAUAAGUUAGAGGUGAAAUUUCAGGGCUCAACCCUGAACGUGCCUCUAAUACUGUUGAGCUAGAGAGUAGUUGCGGUAGGCGGAAUGUAUGGUGUAGCGGUGAAAUGCUUAGAGAUCAUACAGAACACCGAUUGCGAAGGCAGCUUACCAAACUAUAUCUGACGUUGAGGCACGAAAGCGUGGGGAGCAAACAGGAUUAGAUACCCUGGUAGUCCACGCAGUAAACGAUGAUAACUCGUUGUCGGCGAUACACAGUCGGUGACUAAGCGAAAGCGAUAAGUUAUCCACCUGGGGAGUACGUUCGCAAGAAUGAAACUCAAAGGAAUUGACGGGGGCCCGCACAAGCGGAGGAACAUGUGGUUUAAUUCGAUGAUACGCGAGGAACCUUACCCGGGCUU
rnacentral:rRNA from 1 species